rnacentral:rRNA from 1 species
AUGAACGCUGGCGGCGUGCCUAACACAUGCAAGUCGCACGAAGCUUGACGGAUGAUUUCUUCGGAAUGAAACCAGAUAUGACUUAGUGGCGGACGGGUGAGUAACACGUGAGCAACCUGCCUUUCAGAGGGGGAUAACGGCUGGAAACGGUCGCUAAUACCGCAUGAUGUGUUCGGAUGGCAUCAUCUGAACAUCAAAGAUUUAUCGCUGAAAGAUGGGCUCGCGUCUGAUUAGAUAGUUGGUGGGGUAACGGCCUACCAAGUCUACGAUCAGUAGCCGGACUGAGAGGUUGAACGGCCACAUUGGGACUGAGAUACGGCCCAGACUCCUACGGGAGGCAGCAGUGGGGAAUAUUGCACAAUGGGGGAAACCCUGAUGCAGCAACGCCGCGUGAAGGAUGACGGUUUUCGGAUUGUAAACUUCUUUUCUUAGUGACGAAGACAGUGACGGUAGCUAAGGAAUAAGCAUCGGCUAACUACGUG